rnacentral:rRNA from 1 species
UCCGUUGGUGAACCGCGGAG